AACGUAGGACGCAAGCGUUAUCCGGAGUUACUGGGCGUAAAGGGCAGGCAGGCGGGUCGAUAAGUCGGAUGUGAAAUCUCCCUGGCUUAACCGGGAGAGUGCAUUUGAGACUGUCAACCUGGAGGGCAGCAGAGGAGCGUGGAAUUCCGGGUGGAGUGGUGAAAUGCGAUAGAGAUCCGGAGGAACACCAGAGGCGAAGGCGGCAAUCCGUGGACCAACACUGACACUGAGGAGCGAAAGCCAGGGGAG
rnacentral:rRNA from 1 species